rnacentral:lncRNA from 1 species
GCACGUGGUUACACAUCGCCAUUUUCAUGUGUGCAGUUCAUGCUUGCGGAUGGAGGUGUGGAUGUCUCGAUGGGCUAAUGUCGGUUGCAGUCCCUCGUCUUCAUUCACAUUCUAUUUUGAUGAAGACAUUUGUUUCAGUGAUGCCGGUGGACUCUUGUCCAGCUCGGCAUCGAACAUCCAUGCAGUGUUCUGAUGACACUGAUCCUGAUGGCUCUAAUAACAAGUUGAAAAUGUCUUGAAAAGUCAAGCUAAGAAAGACAAAUCAAGAGCACAUACAUGAAGAUGGCUUGUGUGUCUUAGAAAUCACUCUGGACCAACAGCUUCAGCAGAUGGACUGCCAGGAAUUUCUAGCAAAGUUGUGCCAUGAAUGACUUCUAUCCAGUGAAAACAUGUGUGGGAGAAGUGACAUCCGCUUCACAUGACAUGACUGCUUCACUUGAAAAAGAGGAAGAAAAAAGAAAGGUGCAGAUUUUCAGCUGCUGUUGAAGUUCUCAGAACAGGAAAAGGUAAUCUUGGCCAACACAACAGGAAUCCACAUGGUUCUGCAAUUCUAUCAGGAUGAAGUCAUUCCUCUGAAUCAAUUCAUUUGGCUCUGCAAUUUUAUCAGGAUGAAGUCAUUCCUCUGAAUCAAUUCAUUUGACUUCAGCAAUUGAGCUUCACUCCUGGAUGCAUGAUAAGCGAGUAGAUAAACAUUAAUGAAUAUCGCACAGCCUGCACAGCUUAUGACAUCACAGAACUUGUUUGACCUCGCAUUAUGACGUCAGAAGGGCUAAACCCAGUCCACCUCGUGUUUUAGACCAUAUCAAAGUCAAAGGCUCUGCACCCUCGACUUCGCAUGCUGGCCUUUGUCCAUGAAUUCAUGCGUCACGUUUCGACCUCUUUCCACACCUUGGGCAUGAACAGUGGGACAAUGGACUAUUAUUAUAUAGUCUUGUUACUCUGUAGAAACAAGAAAUCAGUGAUAUGUCAGUUGUGUAUGCAGCAAUUUCUUGGAGUAGGAAAUUGUUUCGUUAAUAUGUCAAUCUGUCUGGAGGCUUCACCACCAUCGUUUCCAUUGAAAGUGGAAGAAGAACCAAAUAGUAUCAACACUCACCCAGUGGAAAGUUUAAAUUAAAACGCAAAACAAUCGGUAAGACACAACACUUCAACUAAAAGUCACAAUGUCAAUGACACUUGUAAGUGGGAGCCAGCUCGACCUCUUCGUCUUUGCGUUUCUUGCUAUUUCCUCGGACACAGGAUAUGGAUGUAGGUGCUGUGUACAGAUCAUCAACGGACCAGUUCUUGUUUUGGCAUCGGUGCACACACAAUAGCACUUUUUUUAUUAUGUCCUUCAAACAGCCAAGAGUCCCAAUUGAUACAGUUGACAAACGUCAUGGUCAACUACUCUUCAGGACAAACCCUUAGUCUGAUGUUACAUGUAGUUGGUUGACUUCUGUUGAGAAGUUCGCUCAAGACUUCUGUUGCCGAGAGGUGCCAAGGGAUCUUAGACUCCACCAUGUAUCCUGGGCUGUUUAAAAGGGGAUAGCUGUCUUCAAAUACAGUAGUCCCUCAGUGGGUCCACAACACUUUAUUAGUGAUUCAAUGUUGUAUAACUACAUGGUGUGAUCACAAGAGCUAGGCGGCAUGUCGGAGGCGAUGGUCAGCCAACCUGCCUAACCGCUGUCUCAGGGUCAAGUCUCGACUAACACAAAGCGUUCUCAAUGUAUCCCGAAGGGUAGAAUCCUGAUCAGACUGUCACGUGUCGUAUUUGUGACAGAUGUCUGGUCAGAAUGCAGUAUCCCGCACCUCAUCCACAUUGUCAUGCUUCAGUGGCCAACCAGCCUUUGUCUAACUUUGAUUAUAUGCAGCUAAUGACCUGGUGGCCAUGAUGACAAUGGUCAAGCUGUGUUAAUUUCAUUUCCAUUGACAGCAUGGCCAUUACUUAGAGAUAUUCAAUUUACAUAACUCAAGGAAUAUCAUAAAUAUCCCUGAUGAACACUGUUCCAAAGUGCCUACGAUACUGCUUCGAGUUUGUUGCAUUCACAUGAUUUGCUUUUAUGAUUGUAGACUUGUUUUCCUGCCAUAUUGCUAAAGAUCCCAAGAGCAUGCGUUUGUUUUGUGUCUAUAGAACCAAUGUUGAAAACAAAAGUCAAGUCAAGUCAAUAAUUUGAUAUGCCUAUGAAGUAAGUUUUUUCAGAGGUUGAAUCACAACUCGUGAAUACACGGACAAAGGGCUAUUAUGCGGAACUGUGCAUUGAUCAUUGUCCCAUUCUAUUCAUCCAUUAUGUGCGGAACGAGGUCGAAAACGUGACCCAUGAAUACACUCGGGAGAAAGGCCAUGAGGUCGAGAGUGCAGAGCCUUUGUGGUCCAGAACGUGAGGUUGACAGGGUGUAGCCCCUCCUUUAGACCAUGAGGUCAGAGUUUUGUGACAUCAUAGGCUGUGCUGGCUGUGGGAUAUUCAUUAAGUUUUAUCUACUGAAGUGUUACCAACUGUAUGGUGCUGUGUAAAAUUGCAGACAAUAAAUCUGAAG